AAAUAUAGUCUCAUAGUACGAUGAUUUUAUAUCAUUAAAUUAAAAUCUGACGUUUACCAGCUGUGUCAUUGUUUCAAAAUAACACAUUUGUUUUGGAUAUAUUAAUAUUAAAGUGCAACAUUAUGACAUUUUGGGAAACGAUAUUUGCGUUUCAGGUGACUGCUGAAUUUGUUAAAGUCGUUUGGAAAAGGAAAAACAGUGUAUAUGAUGCCUUCAAAGUAUGUAUUCUUCUACUCGUCGCAAUCUUUGCAUCCGGAGUUGGAAAUUGCUUCGAAAGGUUAACUGAAAGAAAACCAAAACAACAUUGAUGUAAACAGAACCACGUGUGUUUUUGUAUAUACAGGAACAACUAGAUAUUCAACCACAAUUUUAAAGACUAUGUAUCUACCAGGGCAUCUACAGAUAUUUUCCAUUGUUGAAAUAUUAAUCAUUUAUAUGAUUUGAGCAAAUGUAUCAAUAUCAGACCAAUGGUACACAGAAUGAAUAAGCAUUUCAAUUAAUAAAUGUUAAAGUUAGGAAGAAGUUUAAGUUUAUAAUUACAUAAUUAUUUAAAACAAAUUCCAUAAAAAGUUGACUCUUUCAAAAUUAUAAGGAUGUUAGUAUGUAUAUUACAUAAUAAAUGUAACGUUUAAACAUUUUAAAUUGCUUGAAUUAUUAAAUAUUCUUAUAAUUUUUUUGUAGUUUAGUUUGAAUAGAUCUAUUUGUUUUUUUUUUACAUUUACAUCUCCUGGGAAUACAAUUUUGAAACUAUUGGCUCUAUUAUCAAUAUUUUAUUUGGAUGUAAAUGCUUACAAACUGUACGUAUUAAAAUAUACAUCUGGUGACUAACAUACUUGCAAUGUUUAAGUUCAGCAGAUUUCUUUAUUUUAAAAUGUAUGUACAUCAGGGUAAUCAGAACAGAUAAUAUAAGGAAGUACUUAUUCAAUAUUGCAAUAUACCAAAAAUGCUGACCUGGUUAUAAGAGCUAUAUAUUUUACUGUAAUUGUUUCAAUUGUGAUAUCUAACCCAGUGGAAGAACUAUUUAUGGAGUAAAUGUAUAAUUUGAAUUUCUAGCAGACAAUUUUACACACUGAUUUCAGUCGUAACUAGAGAGCAUAUGUUCCAAAUUUCAAAAUAGUGUUUAAUAAAAGUAGAAACAUUUAGAAAAAAA
rnacentral:lncRNA from 1 species